GAGGAUAAGAAUGUAGGGAAGAAGGAAACUAGAUUAGAUCAGAUUGGAGGGUCAGAGACAACUAACGAAACUGAAUUAGAUCAGAUUGGAGGGUCAGAGACAACUAACGAAACUGAAUUAGAUCAGAUUGGAGGGUCAGAGACAACUAACGAAACUAGAUUAGAUCAGAUUGGAGGGUCAGAGACAACUAACGAAACUGAAUUAGAUCAGAUUGGAGGGUCAGAGACAACUAACGAAACUAGAUUAGAUCAGAUUGGAGGGUCAGAGACAACUAACGAAACUGAAUUAGAUCAGAUUGGAGGGUCAGAGACAACUAACGAAACUAGAUUAGAUCAGAUUGGAGGGUCAGAGACAACUAACGAAACUAGAUUAGAUCAGAUUGGAGGGUCAGAGACAACUAACGAAACUAGAUUAGAUCAGAUUGGAGGGUCAGAGACAACUAACGAAACUAGAUUAGAUCAGAUUGGAGGGUCAGAGACAACUAACGAAACUAGAUUAGAUCAGAUUGGAGGGUCAGAGACAACUAACGAAACUGAAUUAGAUCAGAUUGGAGGGUCAGAGACAACUAACGAAACUGAAUUAGAUCAGAUUGGAGGGUCAGAGACAACUAACGAAACUGAAUUAGAUCAGAUUGGAGGGUCAGAGACAACUAACGAAACUAGAUUAGAUCAGAUUGGAGGGUCAGAGACAACUAACGAAACUAGAUUAGAUCAGAUUGGAGGGUCAGAGACAACUAACGAAACUAGAUUAGAUCAGAUUGGAGGGUCAGAGACAACUAACGAAACUGAAUUAGAUCAGAUUGGAGGGUCAGAGACAACUAACGAAACUAGAUUAGAUCAGAUUGGAGGGUCAGAGACAACUAACGAAACUAGAUUAGAUCAGAUUGGAGGGUCAGAGACAACUAACGAAACUAGAUUAGAUCAGAUUGGAGGGUCAGAGACAACUAACGAAACUAGAUUAGAUCAGAUUGGAGGGUCAGAGACAACUAACGAAACUAGAUUAGAUCAGAUUGGAGGGUCAGAGACAACUAACGAAACUAGAUUAGAUCAGAUUGGAGGGUCAGAGACAACUAACGAAACUGAAUUAGAUCAGAUUGGAGGGUCAGAGACAACUAACGAAACUGAAUUAGAUCAGAUUGGAGGGUCAGAGACAACUAACGAAACUGAAUUAGAUCAGAUUGGAGGGUCAGAGACAACUAACGAAACUAGAUUAGAUCAGAUUGGAGGGUCAGAGACAACUAACGAAACUAGAUUAGAUCAGAUUGGAGGGUCAGAGACAACUAACGAAACUAGAUUAGAUCAGAUUGGAGGGUCAGAGACAACUAACGAAACUGAAUUAGAUCAGAUUGGAGGGUCAGAGACAACUAACGAAACUAGAUUAGAUCAGAUUGGAGGGUCAGAGACAACUAACGAAACUGAAUUAGAUCAGAUUGGAGGGUCAGAGACAACUAACGAAACUGAAUUAGAUCAGAUUGGAGGGUCAGAGACAACUAACGAAACUAGAUUAGAUCAGAUUGGAGGGUCAGAGACAACUAACGAAACUAGAUUAGAUCAGAUUGGAGGGUCAGAGACAACUAACGAAACUAGAUUAGAUCAGAUUGGAGGGUCAGAGACAACUAACGAAACUGAAUUAGAUCAGAUUGGAGGGUCAGAGACAACUAACGAAACUGAAUUAGAUCAGAUUGGAGGGUCAGAGACAACUAACGAAACUAGAUUAGAUCAGAUUGGAGGGUCAGAGACAACUAACGAAACUAGAUUAGAUCAGAUUGGAGGGUCAGAGACAACUAACGAAACUGAAUUAGAUCAGAUUGGAGGGUCAGAGACAACUAACGAAACUAGAUUAGAUCAGAUUGGAGGGUCAGAGACAACUAACGAAACUAAAUUAGAUCAGAUUGGAGGGUCAGAGACAACUAACGAAACUAGAUUAGAUCAGAUUGGAGGGUCAGAGACAACUAACGAAACUAGAUUAGAUUAG
rnacentral:lncRNA from 1 species